CUACAGACCUUCCCUCCCCCUGGCUAUCCUUACUCACCUUCCUUCCCUCAGAGGAUGCCCACCUUCCAGAUCAGCCUCAACCCUCAAAGAGCUGCUUGACUUCGAUAUUCUCCAACAGAUCAUUUCCAUCUGUGCUUUUGCCACUUGUGGAGAUUUUAAGGACAAAACUGAUAUUUGAAUAAGUUAUUCUCCUAAAAUUACUGACAUUAAAACAAUUACUGCUAUUUUUUGGUUAUCCAUUCAGGUUGAAUCAGGCAUCAUUUCAGUCACCUCCAGAUGUAAAUGUGUGUGAUGUAAAUUGGAAAAGUCAUGUCUUUAUAGGAGGUUGCUCUUCUUCUGCACAAUUCUGUCUUAUAUUUGUAGUCUUUGUCUUCUUGCAUUGCAUUUCUGCUCUUCUGCUUUAUGUUGGUUACAUGAACACAUAUGGGCAUAGUGAAAAAAAAAAAAAACCUUUCCAUAACUGACUUUGUUGCAGCUCUUUUUGCCACUUUUUGAGGUUAGUGAGCCUUUCAACCUAGGCUAAAGCUCUUACAAAUGCUGAAAUAGCUACCAGUCACAAUAAUGUUCAGGAACAUCUGCCUUGCAAUCAGCGAAGAGUAACAUGUUCAUUUGGCUCUAUGACUACCAUGGGGUCCCUAAAUGGAUCUGUGAUCUUUGGCUUUAGGGAGGAAAUGCUUCGUUUUUGUACAAAGAGACCAGUUUGCACAGUCCAUCAAAUACUUCUGCUUCUCCUAGCCAAAGAGAUAUUCUAUCUCCUGCCAGAAUAUA
rnacentral:lncRNA from 1 species